AUAUUGUCCGAAGUAGUUCUCCAAUUCACCGUUGUUUAAGAGUAGAGUGCGCUAAAAAACCAGUGAUUUUUUUUUUCCUAGUCGAUAUUUCAGAGCCUGAGACACCAAAUCCCAUUUAAUGUCCAAUCUAUGCUGUUUCUGGUCAAUGAUCGUACGAGGUUUUGCUACAAACUUCACCGAUGGCUGACGGGUUGCGGCAUGUAGGCGUCAUACUAAUUCCUACACGUUAAAUACAUUGUACAUUUCAGUUUAUAAUGAAGCGCGUUUCGAUCAGUAUAGAAGAACAACACAAACGGGAAUCAAUCAUUUAUUUAUUUAUUUAUCAAUGGAAAUAAUGAAA